rnacentral:rRNA from 1 species
CGUGCAAAGGUAGCAUAAUAAUUUGCCUUCUAAUUAAUGGCUAGUAUGAAUGGACACACGAAAAUUAAACUGUCUCAAAAAAUUUUAUAAAACUUAGUCUUUAAGUGCAGAAACUUAAAUAAAACUAAAGGACAAGAAGACCCUGUAGAGCCUAAAAUUACUAAUUUUUUAAGCAAAAUUUAUUUAAAUCUUCUAUAAAACACAAAUUUUUAGUUGGGGCAACUAGAACAUAUCCAAAUCUAUUCUAUAACAUCAGGUUAACAUACCUUUUAAUUGAUCCAUUAUUUAUGAUUAUUCGCAUAGGCUACCUCAGGGAUAACAGACUAAUC